rnacentral:misc_RNA from 1 species
GAUGAAGAACGCAGCGAAAUGCGAUAAGUAAUGUGAAUUGCAGAAUUCAGUGAAUCAUCGAAUCUUUGAACGCACAUUGCGCCCGCCAGUAUUCUGGCGGGCAUGCCUGUUCGAGCGUCAUUUCAACCAUCAGGCCCUGCUUGCGUUGGGGUCCUGCGGCUGCCCGCAGGCCCUGAAAACCAGUGGCGGGCUCGCUAGUCACACCGAGCGCAGUAAUACAUCUCGCUUUGGGCGUGCGGCGGGUUCUUGCCGUUAAACACCCCCUUUUUACCAAGGUUGACCUCGGAUCAGGUAGGAAUACCCGCUGAACUUAAGCAUAUCAAUAAGCGGAGGA